CCGAACGAACGUCUGGCGGCAUGCCUAACACAUGCAAGUCGAACGCGUGUAGCAAUACACGAGUGGCGGACGGGUGAGUAACGCGUGGGAACCUGCCCAGUGGUAGGGAAUAACUGCGGGAAACUGCAGCUAAUACCCUAUGAGCCCUACGGGGGAAAGAUUUAUCGCCAUUGGAGGGGCCCGCGUCGGAUUAGCUAGUUGGUAGGGUAACGGCCUACCAAGGCUACGAUCCGUAGCUGGUCUGAGAGGAUGAUCAGCCACACUGGGACUGAGAUACGGCCCAGACUCCUACUGGAGGCAGCAGUGGGGAAUAUUGCACAAUGGGCGCAAGCCUGAUGCAGCGACGCCGCGUGAGGGAUGACGGCCUUCGGGUUGUAAACCUCUUUCAGUAUCGACGAAGCGCAAGUGACGGUAGAUACAGAAGAAGCACCGGCCAACUACGUGCCAGCAGCCGCGGUAAUACGUAGGGUGCGAGCGUUGUCCGGAAUUACUGGGCGUAAAGAGCUCGUAGGUGGUUUGUCGCGUUGUUCGUGAAAACUCACAACUCAAUUGUGGGCGUGCGGGCGAUACGGGCAGACUGGAGUACUGCAGGGGAGACUGGAAUUCCUGGUGUAGCGGUGGAAUGCGCAGAUAUCAGGAGGAACACCGGUGGCGAAGGCGGGUCUCUGGGCAGUAACUGACGCUGAGGAGCGAAAGCGUGGGGAGCGAACAGGAUUAGAUACCCUGGUAGUCCACGCCGUAAACGGUGGGUACUAGGUGUGGGUUUCCUUCCUUGGGAUCCGUGCCGUAGCUAACGCAUUAAGUACCCCGCCUGGGGAGUACGGCCGCAAGGCUAAAACUCAAAGGAAUUGACGGGGGCCCGCACAAGCGGCGGAGCAUGUGGAUUAAUUCGAUGCAACGCGAAGAACCUUACCUGGGUUUGACAUGCACAGGACGCGUCUAGAGAUAGGCGUUCCCUUGUGGCCUGUGUGCAGGUGGUGCAUGGCUGUCGUCAGCUCGUGUCGUGAGAUGUUGGGUUAAGUCCCGCAACGAGCGCAACCCUUGUCUCAUGUUGCCAGCACGUGAUGGUGGGGACUCGUGAGAGACUGCCGGGGUCAACUCGGAGGAAGGUGGGGAUGACGUCAAGUCAUCAUGCCCCUUAUGUCCAGGGCUUCACACAUGCUACAAUGGCCGGUACAAAGGGCUGCGAUGCCGUGAGGUGGAGCGAAUCCUUUCAAAGCCGGCCUCAGUUCGGAUCGGGGUCUGCAACUCGACCCCGUGAAGUCG
rnacentral:rRNA from 1 species